UCGAUAUCAGUGUAAGACUGAAGACUAGGGAAUAUUCCUAAAAGCUGGACUCCAGAUGGAGCUUGUCUUUGCAAGACUAGUUAUCUGUAUUAAAGGCAAUUAAGCAGAAGUUAUUUUCUUUGGACGAGCAUUUAGAUAUUUGUCAUUGGCUUAAUAAGAUGCCUCUGCUCUAGUUCUGAUCAAAGGUCACUGACCCUCUCUCCACGAAUGCUGCCUGACCUGAAUUACAAGGCAAUUCUGGAAUUCUGGACAGCCUUGAAUCAAG